GCCAACUUAGCUCAGCUGGCAGCGCAUUUCAUUCGUAAAGUAAGGGUCGUCGGUUCGACGCCGAUAGUUGGCU
rnacentral:tRNA from 1 species